rnacentral:rRNA from 1 species
UGGGGAAUUUUGGACAAUGGGCGAAAGCCUGAUCCAGCAAUGCCGCGUGUGUGAAGAAGGCCUUCGGGUUGUAAAGCACUUUUGUCCGGAAAGAAAUCCUUGGCUCUAAUACAGUCGGGGGAUGACGGUACCGGAAGAAUAAGCACCGGCUAACUACGUGCCAGCAGCCGCGGUAAUACGUAGGGUGCAAGCGUUAAUCGGAAUUACUGGGCGUAAAGCGUGCGCAGGCGGUUUGCUAAGACCGAUGUGAAAUCCCCGGGCUCAACCUGGGAACUGCAUUGGUGACUGGCAGGCUAGAGUGUGGCAGAGGGGGGUAGAAUUCCACGUGUAGCAGUGAAAUGCGUAGAGAUGUGGAGGAAUACCGAUGGCGAAGGCAGCCCCCUGGGCCAAUACUGACGCUCAUGCACGAAAGCGUGGGGAGCAAACAGGAUUAGAUACCCUGGUAGUCCACGCCCUAAAACGAUGUCAACUAGUUGUUGGGAUUCAUUUCCUUAGUAACGUAGCUAACGCGUGAAGUUGACCGCCUGGGGAGUACGGUCGCAAGAUUAAAACUCAAAGGAAUUGACGGGGUCAUAGCUGUUUCCU